rnacentral:rRNA from 1 species
UACAGAGGUCCCAAGCGUUGUUCGGAUUCACUGGGCGUAAAGCGCGCGCAGGCGGCGAUCUACGUCUGGGGUGAAAGCCCGGAGCUCAACUCCGGGACUGCCUUGGAUACGGGAUCGCUUGAGGAUUGGAGAGGCAAGGGGAAUUCCACGUGUAGCGGUGAAAUGCGUAGAUAUGUGGAGGAACACCUGUGGCGAAGGCGCCUUGCUGGCCAAUUUCUGACGCUGAGGCGCGAAAGCGUGGGGAGCAAACAGG